UUUCAUCCAAAAAUAAUUAAUAUGACUAUACACUCAAAUUACUAUCAGUUGGCAAUCAGCUGUUUUAUUUGAACCCCCUAUUGUUGUAAUAUAAACUUGAUAAUUGCAUUAUAAUCUUUAUUCACAGAGAGCAACUUUAUGUCAAGACGACAGUUGCUCUCUGUGCCAUUUGAAAUGCCUCUCAUAUGGUGCAUGUAUUCGAACAUCUGGAAUAUAAUAAUAUAUAUUAGACAGAUGUAACAUUUAUAUCCAAGGGCUUAAUUUGUGCAGGAACAAGCCGGAUCCUCCGAAAUCCGAUCCGGCACCUCAUUUGGCAGAUCCCGCUCUUCAAGCGCUAAUGGGAAACGUUCGUGCUGACCUGUUGCGUGCAUAUAUUUUAUUAAAAAGCACGUAUAAUACUUAUAAUGGCAAUAACUUUUUUAUUGUGAUAAUGAACAGGCAGUCAAGUUUGAGAUGCUGGAAUAUUGUGUGUGUGUGUGCGUAAGGGGCCGGCGUAAUACACAGACAAAAAUGAAUUCAAAAAUGAAUGUUUUGCACAUUACUUAAUUUCUUGCUAUAAAUGUUACAAAAUUCAUUGAGAUUGCAGUUUGCUUAAAAUAAUGAGUAAACACAGCAAGUAAUUUUUAGUAAAGUCGCAUGAAUCUGGUUAUUAGUCAAUUUGACAAAACAUUUUAAGAUUUGGUUAGAUCAUGUGACCCAGCAGUGGCCAUUUUCUGAAAAUCAUCUCCUCAUACGAUUAAGGUGAGUAAACUUAACUUGUUUUAUAUUAAAAUGUUUUAUAAAAUAAAUCCCCCCAAUAGUGUUAAGAUACAUGUUUCUUAAUGUUUUCAUUUUAAAUAAGUUUAAUUGUGGUGGUGCACGUUUCUUAGUGUUUUAAAUAAGCUCAGAUAUCAAAUGUACAGAAACGUGCGUGCACAGCGCGCUUCAACUUUUGUGAGAAGAAAUUUUAUUUAAGUUGCUUAAAUGAGAUUUAUGGUAAACGAUCACGAUUGCCUACUUUUAUGAAGGCAUGAAAACACGUUGAUAGUUAUAUUCGCCGUCCAGCUCCUUGAGCUUUUUAGUUUAAAUUUGACACAAGGCGCCACAUUAACAGACAACGUUUUUAAGUGAGUUAAAAAGAGCGCGAAGCCGUCAUUGCUUUAUUUCAAACUGUUCAUCUGUCAUUGCUUUAUUUCAAACUGUUCAUCUGUCUACCUUUCAUCUGUUUAUCUAUACCGCUUGCGAGCGUUGCAAUGCAACGCGACAAACGCCUUGUUGUUAAUGGUUUCUGUUAUGUUUUGUCAUGUGGCAUCUUGAGGUGCGGACAGGGUGUGACCGUUUACCGUGAGCUUGAAGUGCGAGGCGGAGGCUGGAACAGCGGGCUCAAAAUCUCUAUUCAUUGUGUUGGAAAGCCAAUUCCUCAAUGAAUGUUAAAAAAAUCUUGGGAGACCUAAUUUUCAUAGUGACGAACUUAUACAGAACUAGGACAAUAAUGGUGAAGUUAAUCAACCUUGCAGAGCACACAGUAAUGACCAGAGGAGGGAUCUCCAGAUACUCCAGAUCUCCAUAUUUAGCUCAACACCACACCUAACAUGCAAGCAUACAAGACCACACACAAACAUAACUCUACACUGUUAUCAAACACACAUACACACUCAUUCAUACAACACCACAAAUAUUAAAAACCAUUAAAAACCACUAGCCUGAGCCAUGUUGAUGGUUACUGUUGUUAUAAUGUUGUCAGAAUGCCUGUUAUUGUU